GCCCGUCUAGCUUAGUUGGUAAAGUGCAAGGCUCUUAACCUUGUGUGGUUGUGGGUUUGAGCCCCACAAUGGGUG